rnacentral:tRNA from 1 species
GGGCCAUUAGCUCAAUGGUAGAGCAGGCGCCUCUUAAGCGCAAGGUUAUAGGUUCGAGUCCUAUAUGGCCCA